rnacentral:rRNA from 1 species
CGAGAAAGCCCGCAAGGGUGAGUAAAGCGGCGCACGGGUGAGUAACACGUGGGUAAUCUGCCCUAGAGUCCGGAAUAACUCGCCGAAAGGCGUGCUAAUGCCGGAUGAGACCACGGGAGCCUCGGCUCUCGCGGGAAAAGGUGGCCUCUGUAUACAAGCUAUCGCUCUAGGAUGAGCCCGCGGCCCAUCAGCUCGUUGGCGGGGUAAUGGCCCGCCAAGGCUACGACGGGUAGCUGGUCUGAGAGGACGAUCAGCCACACUGGAACUGAGACACGGUCC